GGAAGCAACUGGGCCACCAGGACAGAAGACCUUGAAUCUCCAGGCUGAGCCGGCUGUACCGGAAGAGGAUGAAUGUGCUGUGUAGGAGGAGCGGGGUCAUGCAGUGACACUGGAAAAUUAGGGGCCUGUCGAGCGAUGUUGGAAGAAGAAACAGAUCAAACCUAUGAGAAUGUCCUGGCUGAGAUUCAGUCUUUCGAACUGCCUGUUGAAGCUACUUUAAGCCUAAGUCAGAGUCAGAGGAAGAUGUGACCACAGAAGAAUGGUCAGAGAGAUGUAAUGCUGCUAGCUUUGAAGAUGGAGGAAGGGGGCCACAAGCCAAGGUAUGUGGGUGGCCUCUAGAAGCUGGAAAAGGCAAAGAAACAAAUUCUCCCGCAGAGUCUCUAGCAAGGAACACAGACAUGCUGACACCUUGAUUUUUAGCCCAGUGAGACCUGUGACAGACUUCUAACGUACAGAACUGUAAGAUAAUAUGUCUGAGUCAUUUUAAGCUACUCAAUUUGUGGUGAUUUGUUAAAGCAACAAUGGAAAACUCAUACACCAUGGGACAGCAAUAUGAGGCAGACACUGCCAUUGUCAUUUACAGUCAUUUAACUGACAUAUAAAAGAACUAGGUUCUUGCCCAAUGUCACACAGCUGUCAAGUGAUAUUAAUCCAAGAAUUAAUGUCUUCGGACACUGGUCUUCAGAGCUCAUGCUCUAACUAUUGCACAAUACCACCUCCCAGGAUGUUUGUGGGGAGGAGGCUGGAGGUAGGUUUCAAGUAAAAGCUCACUAAGGGUGAGUGAGUUACACAGCUGGAUAAAGAGCUUGGUUGACUCAAAGGGAAGCUUUUCAAAGCCCUGGAUUAAUGUAGAGCAGAAAGUAGUUGUUCCUCAGGCUAGGUUUCCAUUCUGUUCCUGUUUAGUCUUCCUUCCUCCCUGCUUUGAUCAUGACAAACUGGUUUACUCAGUGUCCCACAAACAUGUCAUUAAGCACGACUUUUUUCUACACUGAUACCUUUGUCCAAGCCUCCCUGCCUCUCUCUCCCACCUCCCUGCUGCUAACCCCCUUUCAAGAGCUCUCACCCCUUCUCAACCCAGCUACUCUGACCUGGGGGCACCUGAGUUCACGGACUUUGGUAUGAAUUACACAUCGCCCUGGGCCUUUUUUUUUUUUUUUUUUUUUGGUAUCUCUGCCAUCAAGUGUCUUAACUUCUCAUCAUUUAAUUUUUUAUGUCGCUUAUAAUUUAUUUCCAAGUUGACUGGCCGCUGUGGACUUCUUGCAGGCGGGGACAUGAAUCCACCUGGAGCG
rnacentral:lncRNA from 10 species